AAAGGAAUAGACGGGGGCCCGCACAAGCGGUGGAGCAUGUGGUUUAAUUCGAAGCAACGCGAAGAACCUUACCAGGUCUUGACAUCUAGCGCCAAUCCCAGAGAUGGGACGUUUCCUUCGGGAACGCUAAGACAGGUGGUGCAUGGUUGUCGUCAGCUCGUGUCGUGAGAUGUUGGGUUAAGUCCCGCAACGAGCGCAACCCUUAUUACUAGUUGCCAGCAUUAAGAUGGGCACUCUAGUGAGACUGCCGGUGACAAACCGGAGGAAGGUGGGGAUGACGUCAAAUCAUCAUGCCCCUUAUGACCUGGGCUACACACGUGCUACAAUGGGCGGUACAACGAGUUGCGAACUUGUGAAAGUAAGCGAAUCUCUAAAAACCGUUCUCAGUUCGGAUUGUAGGCUGCAACUCGCCUACAUGAAGCUGGAAUCGCUAGUAAUCGUGGAUCAGCAUGCCACGGUGAAUACGUUCCCGGGCCUUGUACACACCGCCCGU
rnacentral:rRNA from 1 species